AUCUGAACGAUGAUGACGUGUGUUGUGGAGCCUAGAGGAAGCUACACAAACAACAGAGUUCCAGAAAAUAUUUUUUUUUGUGCGUGUAGAGGGCGGCAGCCAUGGCCAGUUUCAAUGAGGAUGGACUCAAGAAGAAGCUGGACGACCUCAACAUGUCGCAGCAGUCCAUCCAGACAGUGUCACUGUGGUUAAUACACCACAAGAAGCAUGCACACAAUGUUGUCAAUGUGUGGUACAGGGAACUAGUCACUGCAACUGAUUCUCGCAAGCUGACAUUCAUGUACCUGGCAAAUGAUGUGAUACAAAACAGUAAGAAGAAAGGCCCAGAGUACAACAAGGAGUUUGGGAACAAGCUUGGUAAAGUGUUCGAGCAUUUAGGAGGCCUACGCUUGGAUGAUAAAUCCAUAAGGGGCCUCAACAGAUUGCUGAAUGUAUGGGAAGAUAGGAGUGUAUUUGAUGCAGAACAGAUCAGCUCAUUCAAAAAAAAUCUAGAGAAAGGGAAAUUGAAGGAGACCACUCCCAAGAAACGAGAACCUAGUGGGAAAGUUGAUACUCCGGUAAACAAAAAACGAAGAGAUAGUUGCAGUGACUCCAUCGAACCAUCGACUACACCUGAACCUAGGGUGCAUAAAGAUAGUGAAGGAGACACAAGCCAGUUUGCCGUCUCACCCCAGUCAUGUACACCACCAAGUGAUCCUCCUGAACCUGAGCAGUUGAUAGAGGCUCUUCAGGAGUUGGAAAAUGCAGCCACAUCUGAUGCUCUUAUUCGUGAGAAGAUUGCUAAUCUUCCUGACGAAGUAUCUGAUGUAACUCUUCUUAAUAAACUACAAGACUUAGCUGCUGGACGAGCCCUUUGUGAGCAGGUGGAAGAAGCACUGUCUAUGCUGGAGGCAUAUAACAAACGCCUGGCAGAAGAGAUGGAGGCGCGAAAAGCAGUGGCUCGUAUGCUACAUGAUUACAUAGCUUACCAAAAGGAUUUACUUGCUCAGGCAGAGGAAACAUUAGAGCAACAUCGUCAAAAACAAAUAAAAGUUAAAAAAGUGAGAGAAGAAUUAAGGGCCCAUCUGCAAAACUUGCCUGAUAUAUCAAAACUACCAAGUAUUCGAAUGGGUGGACUAGCUCCUCUACCAUCUGCUGGCGACCUGUUCACGUGAUCCCUUGGCACACACAAGACUGGACCCUACAGCGUUGUGAACACACACAUUGUGAUACCCGAUUCCAAGAAUUUUUGGAAGGAAUAUCGCUAGUAUUUUCCUGGGUGAAAACUGAGAGGGGGGGCCAGGUAGCAGCCGUUAGCAUGACAUCAUGGCCUGCCGCCACACUCCACAGUGGCUCCUCAGUGCUCACGUAGCUGCCGUGGUGAGAGGAAGUGUUGCACUUUUGUCUCUCAGCCACCCCAUCUUUUGUCCAGUGUUCCCUUUGGUUUUGGGGCUAUACAUGUUUGAUUAUGUGUAAAAGAAAGUCUUUGACACCUGAAACUAUAGCUCAAAUCAUAGGGCUUCACGAAGCUGGGCAACAGACGAAAGAAUAGUGGAGAAUGUUGGUGUGUGUGUGCAUUCAGUGAGGAACUGGGUGCAGCGUUUCAAGGCUAGUGGCGGUGUCAAGUUACCAUCUGCCAAACCUUGGCCUGGCCCCUCGAAGAAGACGAUCUGUUUGUACCUUAACUGUGUUAAAGAAGCAGUUAGAGAGUACACCUAAGAUAACGGCUAGAGGCUUGAAAGAAAAGAACCCACAUCUUUCAGAGGUGUCUGUAAGUACUGUUAACAGAUGCGUAUCAGAACUGGGCCGCAGUAGUCACUGCCAGGUUAAGAAACUGAUCCUCCCAAGCCACAGAAGAAAUGUAGGCUGGAUUAUGCAAAGAAACAUCUUUACUGGAAUCCUCAACAGUGGACUGAAGUACUGUACUUUGGAGUGAUGAAACAACCUUCACUGUUACCUGUAACCGUGGGGGAUGUGUGUACCGGCCCAGAGGCAGUGACCCGCUAGACCCAUGCUACACCUGUGAUACCACCAAACACCCAGACUCGCUCAUGGUUUGGGGGUAUUUCAGUGCUCAGAGUGUUGGUGAACUCAUUGUGCUUCCCAAAAACCAGUAUAUGAACCAGUAUAAUUACCAGGAGUUAUUGUGUGACAAUUUACCUCAGGCAUUUGACAAGUGUGGGGCUAUGGUUUUUAUGUAGGACGGUGCACAGUGUCAUACCGCCAGAUCUGUAGUUCAAUGGUUUAAGGACUGUGAAGUAAGGCUCUUUAAUGACUGACCAGGCAUGCCCCUAGUUUACUGGGCAAGGAUAUCAGUUCCAUCCUGCAGCUGGAGGCUGCUCUACAUGAAGCGUGGAAUAAUAUACCUCCCCAAACCCUCAAGAAUUUGUGUGAGAAUCUUCUUAUGCAGCUGAGGGACAUGAUUUAGUGUAAAGAAUGCAGCACCAAACUUUCAUGGUAGGUGUUUGUGUUUUGGUACGCGUGUGGGGGAGGAAUGGCAUAAUGCCAUGACUAGCACUGUAAAUUAACUGGCAUUUUUUUUUUUACUUUUAUGUACACAAUGAACAAUUUACCAGUCUUUCCCACUCUCAUCACAUACUAUUUGGCUCUCACUCUUUUUACAUAUACACAGUUAGCAUAUGUACCAGCCAUUCCCACUUUCAAUUAUUUUACUGCUGCUCUUGCACUUUUCUUAAAUGUUUCAAGCUUUUCUCUUAUUCAGAUACCAUAUCUCAUUCCUCCCACCCAGCAUAAAAUUUCUGCCUCCAUUUCUUGUCAAUUUAGUGCUUUAUUUGAUUAUAAUAAUAAUCUACCUCCAUUUCAUUGUAUCACCACUUUCACUUUUGACAGAUGGGUCCAUUUAUUCCAUUGUUGACAAGGCCUCACCUAUUUUUUCAUUUGCUCUUCUUUUGCACUCUUAACUUCUCCAUUUUUUCUAUAUAGUGCAUCUAACUUACAUUUUUACAUUCCAGGAACCAAACAUUUGCUAAUUAUUCACUUUUGCCAGAGUUCCACAUAUGUAAGUUGCCCUAUCACUUUUCUUCUUUCACUUAUAAUCAAAUCUCUGCUAUGCCUCAUACACUACUACUACUUUCUUAAAUCUACACCACCCCUUUUUAGCAUCCUCCCAUCACCUUCACAUCUACCUUUUGAUGCUCUCCUACAAUGAUCAGACAUAUCAGUUACUCCUUUAGUAUAUUUACGUUCAAAAGACUGCCCAUAAACCUUUCGUCUACUACAUAGUCCAUUAUUAUAAUCUACAGUGCCUUUUUCUUGCAUAUACAUCCAGUCAAGGAAAACAAGAUUUUCAUUGUGUUUUUUGGCUGUUCAUUGCAGCAUGCAUGUUGUUCCAGGAAGAAGUGCUUAUCAAAAAUAUUUUUCAGGAGAUGCAUUCACUACUGCAAGAAAAGCUUUCCUUGUACAUAUUAUUAUAAGCAUGGGUAAGAACUCAGUUCAUAAGGCCAUGUAGCACCUGGGGAAUAAGAGGCAAUCAAGUUUGAUCCAAGGAAGGGAAGGGUAACUCCAGUGCCUUGGAUCAAGAAACCUUUAGCAUCAAGGCACACUCAAGCCUUGAUCUAACAUACACUAAAUGCCACUAGCAAAAGUCACUGCAUAUAAUGGUUUUACUUUUGGAUGUAGGUUAGUGGCUUGAUGCUCUUCCUUUUCCUCAAUAUGUCCCAAUACCUUUACCUUCAUGGGAUUGCUGGGGUGCCUCGAUGCUGGUGAAGGGCUCUUGAUUCAAGGAACUGGAGCUCCCCUCCCCAUGCGUUAAACCUAUUUACCUCCCAUUCCACAGGAGUUGUAUUACCCUUAUAUGUUUAGCAACUCUCCUUGAAUAUAAUAAUAAUGUGCUAGAGGUUCUAUGAGCAUGGGAUCUUACAUGUGUUAUUCAUCCAUAAUGAUUGCACACUGACAGAUCUUGGAUAUUCAGUUUUAUCAAUGUUUAUGUAUUACAAUUUUUUUAAUGUUUAGCUUCUCGUCUAUGUCUUAAAUGGUGCUGAUGAUUUUUAUUACCAGUAUACAAUUUCAAUAAGAAGCGCCUAACCUGUAGGGUCAUACAGCGCCUGGGUAUUGAGAGGUAAUCAGGCUUGAUCCUAGGAAGGGGAGGGUAGUUCCAGUUCCUUGGAUCAAGAUUGUUUAACCAGCAUUGAAUCACCCACUUAAGGGAGAGGGUACUGAGAAUGUAGCUGUCUUGUGGCCAUUCCUGCAUCAGGUCCAAAAGGUUUUUUCAUGAGUUAGGUAAUAAGAUGCAUCUCCAACUAAUGAGACAUAUUAUUGUUGCAAUAAAACUUCUCAUUAGUUGUGCAUGUGCUGUUUUACUUAACACUGUUGGUAAUUCUACCAGUGUAAAUUCAACUUUUUCAUGGGUUAACAUUUUAUAACACAGAUAACUGCUAUUUCUAAAGAUGUCCAUAUAAAUACUGGUCUAUAAUUUAGUUGGUUUAUAAUUUAGGUAUGUCAUCAGGAACAGGAAGCUUAUGACUUGAUAAAUUAGACCCAUAUGCAACACUUGGGUAUCUUUAUUGAAGAAACAUUUUGCCACACAGUGGCUUCAUCAGUCCUUUACAAAGACGACUGGUGAAGAUCAGAAGGAGUUUGAGAUAAUCAGUCCCUCACCCUGGAGUCUAUGUAAUCAGUCCAUCAAUCUUGAAAAGAUUACAACAUAUAUGUUUUCUCAAUAAAGAUACCCAAGUGUUGCAUAUGUGUCUAAUUUAUCAACUUAUCAGUUUCCUGAAGCAUUUGCCUACAGCUUUUGACUUGUUGAGUUCCCUCUAAAGAAAGAACACAAGGAUGUGGUCACCCAUCAGUUACUUACCUACACCUGAAUAUUCAAGCUAUGCACAUCUGGACAAAUAGUAGCAAUUUGCCUCCCAUUAAUAUCUUUUAUGUAAAUGGACAAAUGGUAGAAAAUUACAUGUUCCAUAUGAACAGAAUAUUGCCAUUAUGGGAAAAAAUGUGAUCAAACAACACACAACAUUUGUGUCUAGUGGGUUACUCAAACAUUUGAGAGGGUUUCUAUUUAAUUUUGGUGGUAGAAUACAUCAGAUCAAAGGCUAUCAUUUAAUAGAAUCUUUACUAUCAGAUUACUUAAAUUUAUUACCAGAAUAUUUAUUUUAAGAGACAUGAUGUUACCAUGAUCAUUUUUAAAUAACAUGAAAUUUCAAGUGCAUUAAUAACAGUGGCUUUGUAGUGUGUGAUUUUUUUCAUAGUAGCUGAGAAACAAUUUAACUUUAAAGUUAUAUUAAUUCUCUUGACUAUAAAAAGAAAGAAUUUCAGUUAUAUUUGUCCUAGUAAUUUCAGCAGCUGGAAUAAUUUGUACAUAGUUUGUGAAAUCCUUAUUUAUUAUAAAGAGUUUAUAAAUAAUGUUUUUUAUUAACUUGUAAUAUUUAUUUCAUGUGCAAAAUAAAUUUUAUUUACUGGGUAAAGUACAAAAAAAUGAGGAUUCUACAAAAAUGUUGAGUGAAGUCAAAAAGAUUUGAGAUAUAUAGUCUCACUUCAUGAUAUUUUGAUACUGAAAUUAUAUAAAUUUACUUUUUAGAGCCACUCACAUCUAAUAUAAGGAAAAGGCAACAAUAUGUAUGAAAGUAAAAGAAAGUUGAGGGGAAAUUCCAAGACUGUCAAAAAAAAGUUAAUAUUAGCCAUACCCUAGCUAAUCAGGGUUUUAAGAGUGAAAGGAACAAUAGCCAAGAUGAUAAAAGAAAGGUUGUGGUGACAGUUGAUGACUGACUUCAUAAAAUAACGAUAAUAAACUAGUGUGUGUAUGUCAUGCCUAAUAAGCCAAGUCAAAUAAACAAGCCAAAUUGUCACAAAAUAUAUUUUUUGAGAAUAUUAUUUUAUGUAUUGAUAUACGACACAAAAUUUACAUGAAGUUUAGUGGUAUGUAAUUUUUUUUUACUGUACCAUCAGGUUCACAUGGAAAAAAAUAAACAAAGUGGCUUAGGUAUCACAUUGUUGUCACCCCUAACAUAUUUUGAAGUACAUAACAUUAUUAUAUUACAUAUAUAUAUUCUAUAUACACUAUACUACACUGAUUGUCAUUAUUACAACUAUUACAUUAAUUAGCACAGUGAUUUGCAACAAUACUACAAUGAUUUGCACAGUGAUACACUGACCUUAUUAUGCUGAAAUUCUGAUUAAAAUAUUAUGCUUUGUGAGCUUACUAACAUCCCAUUUGAAGAUAAACAAAAAAUUACAUGAUAGUAUAGUAUCUGGAAUGAAGUACUGUAAGUUACACUUAAGCUGCAUGUAUAAAUUAUGUGAUUGGUUCAUAUUGUGCUUGUCAAACUACUGUGCAUACACUGGGCCUCUUCAUAGUAGGCCAUUUCACUUCAUUGUCCUCAGGUGAACUAAGGAAUCAAAGAUACAAACGAAGUAAGUCUUUUAUUAAACGACUGUUUUUGAUCA